GACGAACGCUGGCGGCGUGCUUAACACAUGCAAGUCGAACGGAAAGGCCCUGCUUUUGUGGGGUGCUCGAGUGGCGAACGGGUGAGUAACACGUGAGUAACCUGCCCUUGACUUUGGGAUAACUUCAGGAAACUGGGGCUAAUACCGGAUAGGAGCUCCUGCUGCAUGGUGGGGGUUGGAAAGUUUCGGCGGUCGGGGAUGGACUCGCGGCUUAUCAGCUUGUUGGUGGGGUAGUGGCUUACCAAGGCUUUGACGGGUAGCCGGCCUGAGAGGGUGACCGGCCACAUUGGGACUGAGAUACGGCCCAGACUCCUACGGGGGGCAGCAGUGGGGAAUAUUGCGCAAUGGGGGGAAGCCUGAGGCAGCGACGCCGCGUGCGGGAUGACGGCCUUCGGGUUGUAAACCGCUUUCGCCUGUGACGAAGCGUGAGUGACGGUAAUGGGUAAAGAAGCACCGGCUAACUACGUG
rnacentral:rRNA from 1 species